GACAAAAACACUGAAGCUUUACAGACAAUGAAGUACGAUAUAAUGAGCAUUAAACGAAUAUUUGAACGAUAUUUAGUGUUUUCGCAUCAAAGAGGGAGUACUUUGAGUUAAUCCUUCUUGGUUUUACCAGCUCAUAUCGUCCUAAAACGUCUGCUCUUUAAAUUUGAGCGUUAAGACAUUGCCUUGUUUGUAGGUUAAACAGCCAAACAUCCGUUUCCUAUCAUUGUUCGACACCGAAUGACACAACGUGACUGGAUUUUUAAAUCUGUGACAAAAAAGGAAAUAUCUUAUCACAAAAAAAGGUCUUGGCUGUAAGCCGACGUUCAUUUUCAAAACUACAGUACAAACAACUUAAAGCACGUACGGUUUGACAACUGCUUUAGAAGCGGUCUGUUAAGGUUUCAUUUGACUGAGAUGUUCAUUGCUUGGAAUUUUGCAAAACAAUUGAUCUUGUGUUUCCUGCUGUGUGCUGCUGUGACUGAAGGAUUCAAGUUAGCGCAAGCCGGGAAAAAUGAGCACUUGAAAAUACAUCACCAUAUGACAAAGAGGGAAAUACAAAAGUACUUUGGAGUAGACACACACGAACAAGGUAAAAAUUGUAUUAAAACUUGUCUUCUUCUGACCGGAGAGAUUAAUUUUAUGGUAUUUAUCCUCAGCUUCACAGCCUGCGUGACCGGCGGUUUAGUUGAGGUAGAGCGCGCGAGCAAGCGGCGAAAGCGGCGAUGCCGCGAGGAGCCUGGCUUGCAGCUUCGCCGCUCGUUUUCGCGGGGUCUAAUACUCCGCGAGCUAAACCGCUAACUACGCAGUCUAUCACUUUCAUAACUCGCGGUUUUAGUACUCAUGGUUAUCAGAAAAGGAGGAAAACGCGUGCAUGAUUUUGGCGGUCAUAACCAGAACUGACUGUAUCAUAGUUACCACAUACGUCGGGUAUCCCGUGUGUGUGUUUUUCCUCCUAAGGCCUGGUUAAGGACGUUUGCACCCAUUUCUGCCAAUCCUUACUGAGCUCGAAAUUCAUGUCAGAACGUCACGCCACACCAUACAUCAAGCGUGCGAGCUGAGGAAGGAAUAUAAACAAGCAUAGGGCUUGGUAUCGGUUGCGUUAACUUCAACUGCAGUUUACUCUAUUAAAUGGUCAGUGGCCACGUCUUUUCCUUUCAUAGAUCAAUUUCAAUACUGAUUUUCUUCAUUUUAACCAAAUACCAGAAAAAAUAUGCACAUUCUGCGCUCGUGUGACACAGGUUUUCUUCGUAGUAGACGGGUAAGAUCAAAAAUGUUUUUUUUUUUUCCUAUCUCAAGGAACGACAUCAGCUGCAGAAGUUUACUUAAUAGACUUAGUUGCGUUAAACUGAGUACGUUUACCUGAUAUAAAUUUCAUUAACGUAACUUCUUUUACUGCUGAUAGUUGUAAGCUAAGAUCGUUUUUGAAUCACGAAAGCUUCCAGAAACACAUAGUCUUCAAUGCGUAUUAUCUCAAGAACGAGCGCGGUGACCCCUCAAUUUUUUCGCCUUUUUGGUAACAGUUGAUCGUUACCUUACUGUAUGGCAAUUUU
rnacentral:lncRNA from 1 species